GUUAUACAGAGGUUAUAUAGAAGGUUAUACAGCUGUUAUAUAGAGGUUAUACAGCUGUUAUAUAGAGGUUAUACAGCUGUUAUAUAGAGGUUAUACAGCUGUUAUAUAGAAGGUUAUACAGAGGUUAUACAGAUGUUAUACAGAGGUUAUACAGAGGUUAUACAGAUGUUAUACAGAGGUUAUACAGAGGUUAUACAGCUGUUAUAUAGAGGUUAUACAGCUGUUAUAUAGAGGUUAUACAGCUGUUAUAUAGAGGUUAUACAGCUGUUAUAUAGAGGUUAUACAGCUGUUAUACAGAUGUUAUAC